UACAGAGGUGGCAAGCGUUGUUCGGAAUUACUGGGCGUAAAGGGCGCGUAGGUGGCCAUCUAAGUCAGACGUGAAAGCCCCCGGCUUAACCUGGGAACUGCGUCUGAUACUGGACGGCUUGAGUAUGGGAGAGGAACGUAGAAUUCCAGGUGUAGCGGUGAAAUGCGUAGAUAUCUGGAGGAAUACCGGUGGCGAAGGCGGCAUCCUGGACCGACAUUGACGCUGAACGGCGAAAGCUAGGGGAGCAAACGGG
rnacentral:rRNA from 1 species